AUAUCUUUAGUUGAGUUAUAUGUAAAAAAUUUGUUAAAUUUAUUAGCAUCUAAUGUACAAUAUAGGACAUUCAUAGUUUUAGCAUUAAGCUCAGUCAUUUUUAUAUCAUGUUCAUCCCAAUUCGUUUCGAAUAUGGGAACAUCAAAACCAUCUAUUCUAAUCUUAGGUAUAUAUGGUCCAUUGAUUAUCACUCUCUAAAGUUAAUAAUUAAGUGUCUGACUGUAAAUAUGUAUGCGUGCCUUCCAAUAAGUAUAAUUUAUUCUAUUGAACAAAAGUGGAUAGUUAGUCGAUUG
rnacentral:lncRNA from 1 species